GCAAAACAUGCCCGAAACAGAAUCAUUUAUCCCAUAGAUAAAAAAGGAAAAUUAUUUGCAUUUAUUAUAGUAAAUCUAUAGGGAUCAAAUCCAAAUAGUUCAUAAAUCAAUUACACACCGUCGUCUGACACCUAUUAAAAGCAGAACAUAACUCCGCUGCAGCGGACACGUGUGAGUUACUUGGGAGACAUGAGAAAACGAGGAAGGAUCUCUAGUUCAUAUAAACACUACAGGUCAAAAUAGCAUUAACACUGACAUUGAUCUCAUCGAACAAAAACCUAUGCAAAAAAUAGAAAUGAAUAACGCCAAAACAUUUUGAAAUUAAUUUUUUUUUUUU
rnacentral:misc_RNA from 1 species